AGAACAGAAUGUUCACAAAAUAUUGAUAUUCCUGAAAGUUAUUAAAAAUAGAAUUUUAAAAAUUGAUCUUUCCCAUUUUAUAUAGGAAACUAAAGUUUAAGAGCUAGAAUUGCUGUCUAAAGUCCUCUCUUGCUUUGAAAUGAAAUAUGUUGCUUGGAUUAUGAGUGAGAAAACACAUUUAUUGAGCAUUUAUCUCAUGUCUGACGUGAAUAUACACUUUUCACCUAGGAUACUUCUUAUAGCUUUCACAUAUUAUCACUGGUUUAAUCCAGUGAAAGGUUAUUUCUUUUACAUGGCCAUGCAAGUUACUAGAAGACUUUACUCACUGUAUCUAUUUGAAGAUCCAUGUGGAAAAAAGCUUUCAAGGUCAUAACUAACAAGACAACAUGGAGAAUUGAGUCCCAGUUUGUCACACUUCACAAAUCACUGCUGCUUACAUUUAGAAGCAAGUCCCAAGGCUAAACCUGUUGUCAAAACAACAACAACAACAAUGCGACCGUGUGUCAAGAAGUGAAAAAUAAGAGACACUAUAGAAGAGGUGCUGCACUGCCCAAGUGUACAGAAACGUGGGCAGGGAAGGGAAUCACUAAAGGAAUGAAGACAAAGAGGUGGAGGUGAGACAAGACAAAGAGGAAGACAACAGGAGGGGGCCUCUGAUCAGCCUGCCUUUUUAUGUUGAUGAUUGCUUCUUAUUAAUAAAACUGUGUGAGACAUUGGAGCUGAAGAAAGGAUAAAAUUGGAUCCCUCCCUGGUGUUUAAAUUGCUCUUCACACAGCCCCAUGGAGGUUAUCUCAUAGCAUAAUAAACACUACCUCGUAGGAACAGGGAAGUAA
rnacentral:lncRNA from 10 species